UUACGGGAGGCAGCAGUGGGGAAUAUUGGACAAUGGGCGAAAGCCUGAUCCAGCCAUGCCGCGUGUGUGAAGAAGGUCUUCGGAUUGUAAAGCACUUUAAGUUGGGAGGAAGGGCAGUAAGUUAAUACCUUGCUGUUUUGACGUUACCGACAGAAUAAGCACCGGCUAACUUCGUGCCAGCAGCCGCGGUAAUACGAAGGGUGCAAGCGUUAAUCGGAAUUACUGGGCGUAAAGCGCGCGUAGGUGGUUCAGCAAGUUGAAGGUGAAAUCCCCGGGCUCAACCUGGGAACUGCCUCCAAAACUACUGAGCUAGAGUACGGUAGAGGGUAGUGGAAUUUCCUGUGUAGCGGUGAAAUGCGUAGAUAUAGGAAGGAACACCAGUGGCGAAGGCGACUACCUGGACUGAUACUGACACUGAGGUGCGAAAGCGUGGGGAGCAAACAGGAUUAGAUACCCCCGUAGUCCC
rnacentral:rRNA from 1 species